CCUACGGGAGGCAGCAGUGAGGAAUAUUGGUCAAUGGGCGCGAGCCUGAACCAGCCAAGUAGCGUGAAGGAUGACUGCUCUAUGGGUUGUAAACUUCUUUUAUAAAGGAAUAAAGUGAGGCACGUGUGCCUUUUUGUAUGUACUUUAUGUAUAAGGAUCGGCUAACUCCGUGCCAGCAGCCGCGGUAAUACGGAGGAUCCGAGCGUUAUCCGGAUUUUUUGGGUGUAAAGGGAGCGUAGAUGGGUUGGUAAGUCAGUUGUGAAAGUUUGGGGCUUAACCGUAAAAUUGCAAUUGAUACUGGAAUUCUUGAGUGCAGUUGAGGUAGGCGGAAUGCGUGGUGUAGCGGUGAAAUGCGUAGAGAUAACGAAGAACACCGAUUGCGAAGGCAGCUUACUAAACUGCCACUGACAUUGAGGCUCGAAAGUGUGGGUAUCAAACAGGAUUAGAUACCCGUGUAGUC
rnacentral:rRNA from 1 species